UCACCCGAGGAUUUGUGGGCCUUGCU
rnacentral:piRNA from 1 species